GGACAUAGCUCAGUUGGUAGAGUGCCUGCCUUGCAUGAACAAGAUCCUGGGUUCAAUCCCCAGUACCA
rnacentral:tRNA from 1 species